GAGUUUGAUCUUGGCUCAGAACGAACGCUGGCGGCAGGCCUAACACAUGCAAGUCGAACGCCCGCCUUCAAAUCGCGCGAAGAUUUCAACAAAUACGAAAUCUUGUGUACGAUUUGAUGGCGGGAGUGGCGCACGGGUGAGUAACGCGUGGGAACAUGCCCCAAAGUCUGGAAUAACCACGGGAAACUGUGGACGUAAUACCGGAUAUGUCGAGAGGAUAAAAGAUUUAUCGCUUUGGGAUUGGCCCGCGUUGGAAUUAGCUAGUUGGUAGGGUAAAGGCCUACCAAGGCGACGAUCCAUAGAUGGUCUGAGAGGAUGAUCAUCCACACUGGGAC
rnacentral:rRNA from 1 species